rnacentral:rRNA from 1 species
CCUACGGGAGGCAGCAGUGAGGAAUAUUGGUCAAUGGGCGGGAGCCUGAACCAGCCAAGCCGCGUGAGGGAAGAAGGUACAGCGUAUCGUAAACCUCUUUUGUCAGGGAACAAAGGCGGGGACUAGUCCCCGGAUGAGGGUACCUGAAGAAAAAGCAUCGGCUAACUCCGUGCCAGCAGCCGCGGUAAUACGGAGGAUGCGAGCGUUAUCCGGAUUUAGUGGGUUUAAAGGGUGCGCAGGCGGCGUGUUAAGUCAGCGGUAAAAGCCCGGGGCUCAACCCCGUCGAGCCGUUGAAACUGGCGCGCUGGAGUUGGAGAGAAGUACGCGGAAUGCGUGGUGUAGCGGUGAAAUGCUUAGAUAUCGCGCAGAACCCCGAUUGCGAAGGCAGCGUAGCGGCUCCACACUGACGCUGAGGCACGAAAGCGUGGGUAUCGAACAGGAUUAGAUACCCUUGUAGUC